rnacentral:other from 1 species
UGUUCCCUGCGACGUACGAAGCUAAGUGACAAAAACCUUGAGCCUAUUUAAAUAUUAGGGAAGAACAGCUUUAUUACUGGCGUGUAUGCUCUUUCACUAGAGAAACCCAAUGUAAUAUCCUGGUUCCCACUUGAACCUCUUGGUUCAAGGUAGACACUCUGACUACGGCGUUAGCGGGGAACGC